rnacentral:rRNA from 1 species
CUAGCAUAUCAAUAAGCGGAGGAAAAGAAACCAACAGGGAUUGCCCCAGUAACGGCGAGUGAAGCGGCAACAGCUCAAAUUUGAAAUCUGGCUCCGGCCCGAGUUGUAAUUUGUAGAGGAUGAUUUUGGUGAGGUGCCUUCUGAGUUCCCUGGAACGGGACGCCAGAGAGGGUGAGAGCCCCGUAUAGUCGGCCACCGAUCCUCUGUAAAUCUCCUUCGACGAGUCGAGUAGUUUGGGAAUGCUGCUCAAAAUGGGAGGUAUAUCUCUUCUAAAGCUAAAUAUAGGCCAGAGACCGAUAGCGCACAAGUAGAGUGAUCGAAAGAUGAAAAGCACUUUGAAAAGAGGGUUAAAUAGCACGUGAAAUUGUUGAAAGGGAAGCGCUUGUGACCAGACUUGUGCCGGGCUGAUCAUCCAGUGUUCUCACUGGUGCACUCGACCCGGCUCAGGCCAGCGUCGGUUCUCGUGGGGGGACAAAAGCUUCGGGAACGUAGCACCCUCGGGUGUGUUAUAGCCCGCUGCUCAAUACCCUCGUGGGGACCGAGGUUCGCGCUCUGCAAGGACGCUGGCAUAAUGGUCAUCAGCGACCCGUCUUGAAACACGGACCAAGGAGUCGAGGUUUUGCGCGAGUGUUUGGGUGUAAAACCCGCACGCGUAAUGAAAGUGAACGUAGGUGAGAGCUUCGGCGCAUCAUCGACCGAUCCUGAUGUAUUCGGAUGGAUUUGAGUAAGAGCGUAUAGCCUCGGACCCGAAAGAUGGUGAACUAUGCCUGAAUAGGGUGAAGCCAGAGGAAACUCUGGUGGAGGCUCGCAGCGGUUCUGACGUGCAAAUCGAUCGUCAAAUUUGGGCAUGGGGGCGAAAGACUAAUCGAACCAU